rnacentral:rRNA from 1 species
GAUGAACGCUGGCGGCGUGCCUAAUACAUGCAAGUCGAGCGAACAGACUAUGAGCUUGCUCCUCUGACGUUAGCGGCGGACUUGUGAGUAACACGUUGAUAACCUACCUAUAAGACUGGGAUAACUUCGUGAAACCUGAGCUAAUACCGUAUAAUAUAUUGAUCCUCAUUGUUCAAUAGUAAAAGACUGUUUUGCUGUCACUUAUAGAUGGAUCCGCGCCGCAUUUUCUAUUUGGUAAGGGAACGGCUUACCAAUGCGACGAUACGCAGCCGAACUGAGAGGGGGAACGGCCACACAGGGACUGGGACACGGCCCAGACUCCGACGGGAGGCAGCAGGAGGGAAGAUUCGGCAAUGGACGAAAGACUGACAGAGCAAAGAAGAGGGAGAGAAGAAGGUUUUAGGAUCGUAAAGCUAUGUUGUAAGAGAAGAACGGGUGAGAGAGUGGAAAGUUCACACUGGGACGGUAGCUGACCAGAAAGGGACGGAUAACUACGGG